rnacentral:rRNA from 1 species
UCAAGUUACAAAGGGCGUAUGGUGGAUGCCCAGGCACUUAGAGCCGAAGAAGGACGCAGCGAGCGGCGAAACGCUCCGGGGAGUCGCAAGCAGACGUAGAUCCGGAGAUUUCCGAAUGGGGAAACCCGCUUAAGGUAAUACUUAAGCAUCCCAUGGUGAACACAUAGCCAUGGGAGGGGAAACCGCGUGAACUGAAACAUCUAAGUAGCGCGAGGAGAAGAAAGAAAACAGGGCCUCCCAGCGGAGAGACUCCGCUGGGAAGGUAGUGUCGAUUUCCUAAGUAGCGGCGAGCGAAAAGGAAAGAGCCCAAACCAUCACCGCAGGUGAUGGGGUUUAGGACCACGAGAAGGUAUAAAGAGCGAAGCCGAACAGACCUGGGAAGGCAGGCCAAAGAAGGUGAAAGCCCUGUAGGCGUAAGCGAAAAUAUACCGAGUGGGAUCCAGAGUACCACAGGAUAGGCAACCCGGUGGGAAGACGGGAGGACCAUCUCCCAAGGCUAAAUACUCCUAAGUGACCGAUAGCGCAAAGUACCGUGAGGGAAAGGUGAAAAGAACCCCGGGAGGGGAGUGAAAGAGAACCUGAAACCAUAUGUCCACAAGCAGUGGAAGUCCGGCACUCAACUGAACAUGUUAGAGAGAAGAAAAAAAGAACUAGCGUGUCCAGUUGAGAGCCGGACGACCACGUACUUUUUGUAGAACGGACCGGCGAGUUAUAGAUAUGCAGCGAGGUUAAGCGAAAGCGGAGCCGAAGCGAAAGCGAGUCUUAAGAGGGCGAAAGUUGCAUAUCAUAGACCCGAAACCGUGCGACCUACCCAUGAUCAGGGUGAAGCCGGAGUAAGAUCUGGUGGAGGCCCGAACCACGUUGACGUUGAAAAGUCAUGGGAUGAAUUGUGGGUAGCGGAGAAAUUCCAAUCGAGCUCGGAGAUAGCUGGUUCUCCCCGAAAUAGCUUUAGGGCUAGCCUCAGGGGUGAAAAUAUGGAGGUAGAGCACUGAAUGGACUAGGGGCCAAAAAGGUUACCGAACCCUAUCAAACUCCGAAUGCCAUAUUGAGAACCCUGGGAGUCAGACUACGAGUGAUAAGAUCCGUGGUCAAAAGGGAAACAGCCCAGACCGACAGCUAAGGUCCCAAAGAGCAUGUUAAGUGGAAAAGGAAGUAGGAUUUCCAAGACAACCAGGAUGUUGGCUUAGAAGCAGCCAUACAUUCAAAGAGUGCGUAAUAGCUCACUGGUCGAGAAAUCCCGCGCCGAAAAUAAACGGGGCUAAAACAUGCCACCGAAGCUACGGAUUCUGUAUGAAUGGUAGGGGAGCGUACUGUACAGGGCGAAGGAUAAGCGGAAGCGAAUCUGGACAGUACAGUAGAGAGAAUGCCGGUAUAAGUAACGAGAGUAAGGCGAGAAACCUUACCGUCGAAAGCCUAAGGUUUCCUGGGGAAGGAUAAUCCGCCCAGGGUAAGUCGGGACCUAAGCCGAGGCGAAAGCGUAGGCGAUGGACAACCGGUAAUAAAUCCGGUACCACCGAAAUCCGUCAUAAGAGAAGCAAGGACGCAGCGAGAUAAGAAAAGCGUGCGGUUGGUAGAGCACGUCCAAGCAGCGACGAAGAGAGCUUUGAGUGAAGUACCAAAGCUCAUAAGAGCUGUGAAGGGGAGCCGAAAGGCGAAGUUUCGAAGGGGCUGCCAAGAAAAGUUGCUAUCGAGGAUAGAGGUGCCCGUACCAGAAACCGACACAGGUAGGCGAGGAGAGAAUCCAAAGACGAGCGGGAGAACCCUCAUUAAGGAACUCGGCAAAAAGACUCCGUAACUUCGGGAGAAGGAGUGCCGAAAGGCCGCAGAGAAGAGGCCCAAGCGACUGUUUACCAAAAACACAGGUUUCUGCUAAGUCGAAAGACGAAGUAUAGGAGCUGACGCCUGCCCGGUGCUGGAAGGUUAAGGGGAAGGGUCAGGAGGAAAUCCAAAGCUCUGAACUUAAGCCCCAGUAAACGGCGGCCGUAACUAUAACGGUCCUAAGGUAGCGAAAUUCCUUGUCGGGUAAGUUCCGACCUGCACGAAAGGCGUAACGACUUGGGCGCUGUCUUGAUGGGGGACCCGGUGAAAUUGUAGUACUCGUGAAGAUGCGAGUUACCCGCGACAGGACAGAAAGACCCCAUGGAGCUUUACUGCAGCUUGUCACUGAAUUUUAGUAAUAUCUGUACAGGAUAGGUGGGAGGCGGAGAAAGAUGGGCGCAAGCCUAUCUGGAGCCGACGUUGGGAUACCACCCUGAUAUUACCGAAAUUCUAACAUAGGAGCCGUAAGCCGGCAUAUGGACACUGACAGGCGGGCAGUUUGACUGGGGCGGUCGCCUCCCAAAGAGUAACGGAGGCGUCCAAAGGUUACCUCAGCGCGGAAGGAAAUCGCGCGUAAGAGUGCAAAGGCAGAAGGUAGCCUAACUGCGAGAAAGACAAUUCGAGCAGGGACGAAAGUCGGGCUUAGUGAUCCGGCGGUAGAGAAUGGGAUUGCCGUCGCUCAACGGAUAAAAGCUACCCUGGGGAUAACAGGCUGAUCUCCCCCAAGAGUCCACAUCGACGGGGAGGUUUGGCACCUCGAUGUCGGCUCAUCGCAUCCUGGGGCUGAAGUAGGUCCCAAGGGUUGGGCUGUUCGCCCAUUAAAGCGGUACGCGAGCUGGGUUCAGAACGUCGUGAGACAGUUCGGUCCCUAUCCGUCGCGGGCGUAGGAAAUUUGAGAGGAACUGCCCUUAGUACGAGAGGACCGGGGUGGACAAACCGAUGGUGUACCAGUUGCGAAGCCAUUCGCACAGCUGGGUAGCCAAGUUUGGAAGGGAUAAACGCUGAAAGCAUCUAAGCGUGAAACCCACCUCAAGAAAAGAUUUCCCAUCCGAAAGGAGUAAGACACCUUGGAGAAGACGAGGUAGAUAGGCCGGAGGUGUAAGAGUAGAAAUACUUUGAGCUGACCGGUACUAAUAAGUCGAGGACUUGACCAA